rnacentral:tRNA from 1 species
GGGGUUGUAGCUCAGUGGUAGAGCACUUGCCUAGUAUGUGUGAGGUUCUGGGUUCAAUCCCCAGCACCA